GUGGGGAAUAUUGGACAAUGGGCGCAAGCCUGAUCCAGCCAUGCCGCGUGAGUGAUGAAGGCCUUAGGGUUGUAAAGCUCUUUCAGUGGGGACGAUAAUGACGGUACCCACAGAAGAAGCCCCGGCUAACUUCGUGCCAGCAGCCGCGGUAAUACGAAGGGGGCUAGCGUUGUUCGGAUUUACUGGGCGUAAAGCGCACGUAGGCGGAUCGUUAAGUCGGGGGUGAAAUCCUGGAGCUCAACUCCAGAACUGCCUUCGAUACUGGCGAUCUUGAGUCCGGAAGAGGUGAGUGGAACUCCUAGUGUAGAGGUGGAAUUCGUAGAUAUUAGGAAGAACACCAGUGGCGAAGGCGGCUCACUGGCCCAAUACUGACGCUGAGGCGCGAAAGCGUGGGGAGCAAACAGGAUUAGAUACCCGGGUAGUCC
rnacentral:rRNA from 1 species